CUCUCACUGGCAAGUCCAUUCCCUCACUGACAUUAGAGCCUACCUAUUUGAGAUUCCAUCAUAUUCUGAAGUCCAGCUAAGACAUCCUGCCCCAUGUACUGAACAACUACUGAACUCUUGGACCUUCUGUUCAUAGGUAGGCAUUGUUGGAUUAGCUGGACCACAGCCUGACUGGAGUAAGAACUCAGCAGGGUUUGGUGCUCGUCCAGAGGACACAGGUUUAAAUUCUGGCAUGCCCAGUUGCUCAUAACCUUCUGUAACUCCAGCUCCAGAGGAUCAGAUGACCUUUUGUGGCUUCUGAAGGUACCUGUGAAAAUAAGGCAUAUGCUUACAUAGACUCAGACAUGUACAUUUAUUAAAUAUCUUUUUAAAUGAAUAUUUCUGAAGGAAAAUGUUUGCUACAAGGGAUAAACACAUAGAUCAGAAGAUACAACACUGCAGGAGGUUUGUGACUAAGGACCAAGCAACAGAAAUUAUCAAAUGAAACACAAAGGAGAAAAGUUAAAAAACGAAAAAGUAAACAGAGCAUCCUCUUCGUCAUCUCUAAAAGUUCAACUUCUGCAUCUGCAGUAAAACGAUUCUCACGGUUUUACUCGGCAUGGCCCGUCUCUCCUAUAGUACUGGGAACAUGCACAGAUGCAGCUGAAUGGCCACUUCCUGUGUCUCUACAAAUUCCAUCACCUAUGUCCGUCCAUGGAUUCAGUUUCCCUUCUCCUUAGCUUCUCUUCUGCUUCAUUACAGGUUGGGUUAUUUCUCUCAGGAUUCCAUCCAUUGUAUAUUUGCUUUGUUGGAUGCUGGGAAUUCGUACAAUGUUCCAUACAUACUUUGUUCUAUGAUAAUAAAAAAAAAAAAAAGUACUGGGAACAGUGUGACACAUUCGAGUCUUUGAAAGUCUUGUCAGGCACAAGCAGAGAAGCAUUUAAUCCAGAGCUUUUGUUGUUGCUUUUUGUUUGUUUGUUUCUUGUUUUUGUCCCACCAUCAAGAUGAGAGUUUCUGUUCUGAUUACCCUACCAAACCC
rnacentral:lncRNA from 1 species